rnacentral:rRNA from 1 species
GACGAACGCUGGCGGCGUGCUUAACACAUGCAAGUCGAACGAUGAUGCCCAGCUUGCUGGGUUGAUUAGUGGCGAACGGGUGAGUAACACGUGGGUAACCUGCCUGUAAGACUGGGAUAACUUCGGGAAACCGGAGCUAAUACCGGAUAGUUUCUUUUCUCGCAUGAGAGAAGAUGGAAAGAUGGUUUCGGCUAUCACUUACAGAUGGACCCGCGGCGCAUUAGCUAGUUGGUGAGGUAACUGCUCACCAAGGCAACGAUGCGUAGCCGACCUGAGAGGGUGAUCGGCCACACUGGGACUGAGACACGGCCCAGACUCCUACGGGAGGCAGCAGGGGAAUCUUGCGCAAUGGGCGAAAGCCUGACGCAGCAACGCCGCGUGCGGGAAGAAGGUCUUAGGGUUGUAAACCGCUUUCGGUAGGGACGAAGGCAAUCAGGUUAAUAGCCUGUGCGUUGACGGUACCUACAGAAGAAGGUCCGGCUAACUACGUGCCAGCAGCCGCGGUAAUACGUAGGGACCGAGCGUUGUCCGGAAUCAUUGGGCGUAAAGAGCGUGUAGGCGGCCAAUUAAGUCCUGCGUGAAAUCUCGGGGCUCAACCCCGAGCGGUCGUGGGAACUGGUUGGCUAGAGUGCGGGAGAGGAGAGUGGAAUUCCUGGUGUAGCGGUGAAAUGCGCAGAUAUCAGAAGAACACCCGUGGCGAAGGCGGCUCUCUGGAACGCAACUGACGCUGAGACGCGAAAGCGUGGGGAGCAAACAGGAUUAGAUACCCUGGUAGUCCACGCCCUAAACGAUG